GGGUGCUCAAGGCUAUUUAGCCGGAGCAUGACGCAAGGGUUGGAUAGACGAAAGCCCCGUAAUUAAAUCCAUUUAAUUAACGGGGCCGCAAUCCCAACUCCAAACAGUUGGAUUGUAGCCCCUUCCAACGAAGGAGGCAAUUAUG
rnacentral:antisense_RNA from 1 species